AUACUACUCCCUCCGUCCGGAAAUACUUGUCAUUGAAAUGGAUGUAUCUAGAUGUAUUUUAGUUCUAGAUACAUUCAUUUUCAUCCAUUUUUAUGACAAGUAAUUCCGGACGGAGGGAGUAGUAG
rnacentral:pre_miRNA from 1 species